AACCAGCACCUCAAGUGGUCAGGAGGAUUAUUGGGCCUAAAGCAUCCGUAGCCUGUUCUAUAAGUUUGCGGUUAAAUCUAUGCGCUCAACGUAUAGGCUGCCGUAAAUACUGUAGAACUAGGGAGUGGGAGAGGUAGACGGUACUCGAUAGGAAGGGGUAAAAUCCUUUGAUCUAUUGAUGGCCACCGGUGGCGAAGGCGAGUCUCUGGACAAUUCCUGACGCUGAGGUACGAAGGCUAGGGUAGCGAAAAGG
rnacentral:rRNA from 1 species